rnacentral:rRNA from 1 species
AGAGGGUGCAAGCGUUAAUCGGGACUGACUGGGGCGUAAAGGGCGCGUAGGCGGUAAGACAAGUUAGAGGGUGAAAGACCUGGGGCUCAACCUGGGGGAUUGCCUAUAAUACUGUUUUACUUGAGUACAGGAGAGGGCAGAGGAAUUUCCGGUGUAGCGGUGAAAUGCGUAGAUAUCGGAAAGAACAUCAGUGGUGAAGACGUCUGCCUGGCCUGAAACUGACGCUGAGGCGCGAAAGCGUGGGGAGCAAACAGGAUUAGAUACCCUGGUAGUCCACGCCGUAAACGAUGAGUACUAGCUGUUGGGAUGCGACGACAUCUUAGUAGCGCAGCAAACGCGAUAAGUACUCCGCCUGGGGAUUACGGCCGCAAAGGCUAA